GUUAGGUUAGUUUAACAAAAACGUUAGUUUGUGGAGCUAAAAAUGAAAACUAUUUUCACUUAACC
rnacentral:tRNA from 1 species